rnacentral:lncRNA from 1 species
CCCAUUCAAAAUAAGCAGAAAACCAAGAAAAAAUAAUAAAUAAAAUUCAGUCUAAAAAUAGUUCAUUUACAAUUGGCCCAGAUCAAUUUACUCAAAAAUACAGACUCUAACCCCAAAAUAUACCAAGACCCAAAAUACAAACCAAGCCCAUUUAUAAAUGGCCCAGUACAAACCCAAACUCUAGCCUAAACACCUAAUGGCCCAACUCAGCCCAAAUCCCAACCUAAUGGCAGAAACCCUAGCAACGAGCAAGCCCCAGCACCGCAGCAGCCCCAACUCCUCCGCACGUGCCAAGCCUCUGCCCCCACGCAUGCGCCUUUGCCUCCGUACACGCCACGUCCCCAGCCCUGCUCUCCGUACUUGCAAGAGACGAACAAACGAGCAGCAAAAACAGACAACGGUAAAAAAAGGAGCAACAAUGAGGGAUUGACAGCAAAUACUAGCAGUAAAUAGAAAGUGUAAAAUUUUUUAAAAUUUCUUUGUCUCUAUCCGGCUAUAAAAAGGGCCAAUUGAAAUUUGUAAAAGGGGGAGGCAUAUUGAAUACAAGAAAAUAAAAAAAAAUGUUCAGAGAAAACAAAAGCAAAAUUUGAAAGGUGAUUGCAGUGUUCCUUUUUUUGGUUUAUUCUUUUCUAUUUAUUUAUUCGACAAUUAUUCUCUAAAAAAGUAGAGGAAAAGAGAGGGAGAGGAGAACGAGCAAUUGGAGUUGGAUGGAGGUUAGAGGCAUGAAACAGCGCAGAGAUGAGAAGCUUGCUUAGGUUUUGUUUCAAAU